rnacentral:sRNA from 1 species
AACAUUUUCAGCGUCUUCUCUUAAACAACUAUGCAUGGUUAUCUUGUGUCUAGUCUCUAUAGCGGAAGGAGAACAUAAAUCGUGAAAUCCAUGACCCCACACCCCAGCAUAAUUUGUAGGUAAAAUCUGUAAAAAAAAAUUUGGAUGUAGAACACUUAAAGAUAUCAGUAUGAAUAAGACAUGUAAACGAUUUUUAAAGUAAGAUGCAAGCAAAAUGCCUUCUUCUAAAUAUGUACACGUAUAUUUAUUCCAAUGCCUUUAUAAGAUAGCUUAUCUGCUCAUAGUACAUAGUGUUUAGAUUCAUUGUCUGAUAGCAGUACUUUUAACGGGAUUUUUAUAUACAGCCUGUUUUGGUAUGUUUAUUACUAUCUUCAGAAUACCCUGAUCUGCUUAUUUUCCAUUAAUACAUUAACAAUUCCGAAAAUAUCUACUUUCAGCUCACAAAUAUCGUAAACACGUAAUUAAUCAUACUAGUAUUUUAGAAUAACAUGUGUACAAAUACAUCUCUGAGGUACACAUUUACCCCUAUAUAGUUUGGUAUACUUUGUACGUAAAUUAAAUAUCGGUUUUACUUUCUCGAAAGAAACAACACAAGCAUCAGACCGGAAUUUCAAGAGAGGCACGCAAGCAAAAGGGUUAGGGUUAGUGCCACGAUGAUCGAUGGAAACGGGGGGGUUUUCUACUUGCACUUAUUACUUUUUGUUACACCAUCUGUUUGCUUCAAUUUCUGUUGUUUAAGGGGGCUAAGUGGUUAACAAAUCUAACCACAAGACCCUCUUUAAAGUUCUAGACAUGCUUUUUUCAGCCGUAAACUAUAAUAUACAUGUACUAUAAAAACAUAUUUUGGUAAAGCUUGUCGUGAAAAUGGCUCGCAAUCCCAGACAUGUAUUACAAUGUACUAUUUAAACAAUUCGAUGUUGUGGAAUCGGGAGAUUUUUUUUUCUCUUUCUGGGAGGAAAGAAGGGGGCUCGUUUGUGGGAUAUUUUUUUUAAGAACGGGAGCUACGUUUAUACUAAAAGCAAACUCUCUCUCUCUCUCUCUCUCUCUCUCUCUCUCUCUCUCUCUCUCUCUCUCUCUCUCUCUCUGGUGUUUUGUAUUAUGAGGCGUGAUAAACGGCUUACUGUUUUUUUCUGAUUCUUCCAAGUAAAGCAUGUAUAGAUACGUGCUUCUGCGAUAUUCAGAUCGAUGAUUUGGUUGCAUAAGUGAACACAAUAGACAUUGCUAUUUUGAUAUUUUAUCGUCUAACUCAAAUCUGCUCUAUCUACUACACCUAAAAGGUGUGUUAAAAAAUACUUUACUAUUGCUAUAUAGUAGCUGUUCAAUGGGAUUUUUGACUUAUUUUUGGUACUAUUUAUUUGUCAACUGAUACAUUUAGAAUUACCUUGCACAUUUGCUACACAUGUAUAUGUCGAUUUAGUCUGUUCUCCUGGUUUUCUAUUUUAUAUCAAGUUGCAAAAUAUAUAACUUGAUUACUUUUUCUUUUCUCCUUUUUUUAUAUCUCGUUUUCAAUUAUGCCAAUGCUAUCGGUAUUAUGCAUGUAUUUAGGUUUCAAUGUAUAUUCUUCAUGCAUAUAAUAGCGAAUCUUUACUAUGUUAAUUCUUUAUGCACAAGUAUUUUGUACCACAAGUUUGAUUAUAGUGAAUAAAAUAUUAAUGAACUUG